AGAGUUUGAUCCUGGCUCAGAACGAACGCUGGCGGCAUGCCUAACACAUGCAAGUCGAACGAUGCUUUCGGGCAUAGUGGCGCACGGGUGCGUAACGCGUGGGAAUCUGCCCUCAGGUUCGGAAUAACAGUUGGAAACGACUGCUAAUACCGGAUGAUGACGUUAAGUCCAAAGAUUUAUCGCCUGAGGAUGAGCCCGCGUAGGAUUAGCUAGUUGGUGUGGUAAGAGCGCACCAAGGCGACGAUCCUUAGCUGGUCUGAGAGGAUGAUCAGCCACACUGGGACUGAGACACGGCCCAGACUCCUACGGGAGGCAGCAGUGGGGAAUAUUGGACAAUGGGCGCAAGCCUGAUCCAGCAAUGCCGCGUGAGUGAUGAAGGCCUUAGGGUUGUAAAGCUCUUUUACCCGGGAUGAUAAUGACAGUACCGGGAGAAUAAGCUCCGGCUAACUCCGUG
rnacentral:rRNA from 1 species